UACAUACAUAUUGUCUCCCACAUUACAAGACAUUCCCAAAGGAAUUCUUGCCUUUAUGAGUGGCUGAUUCCUACCCACUCCUCAGAAAUUACAGACUAAAAGAAGUUUCCUCAGGUACAAGGGGAGAGAGUUGGAUAAGAUGACUUCCAAAGAAAUCAUCCAGCUCUAACAUUCCAAAUUUGUGAAGUUCUGUCUUUACUGAAAUGAAGAUCUUUGCUCAACUGUUCUGAAGACUUUAUCUGUCAACCUCAAAACAAAUUUAAAGUCUGCAUGAGAAAAUUUUUAUGAUGAAUUUGGAGGGGGAAAUGUUGGUUACCAGCAUAUCUAAGGUUCUUUC